rnacentral:rRNA from 1 species
GCUAGCGGCAGGCUUAACACAUGCAAGUCGAGGGGCAGCGCGGGGCAGCAAUGUUCUGGCGGCGACCGGCGGAAGGGUGCGUAACGCGUGAGCGACAUGCCCGUUGCCCGGGGACAACCGGUGGAAACGCCGACUAAUCCCCGAUGGGACGGAGGCCCUCAUGGGUCUCCGUUGAAAGUUACGGCGGCGACGGAUUGGCUCGCGUCCGAUUAGCUUGUUGGCGGGGUAACGGCCCACCAAGGCUACGAUCGGUAGGGGUUCUGAGAGGAAGGUCCCCCACAAUGGAACUGAGACACGGUCCAUACUCCUACGGGAGGCAGCAGUGAGGAAUAUUGGUCAAUGGGCGGAAGCCUGAACCAGCCAUGCCGCGUGCGGGAAGGAGGCCCUAUGGGCUGUGAACCGCUUUUGCCUGGGGGCAAUAAGGGCGUCGUGCACGUCCGAUGAGAGUACCAGGCGAAUAAGCAUCGGCUAACUCCGUGCCAGCAGCCGCGGUAAUACGGGGGAUGCGAGCGUUAUCCGGAUUCAUUGGGUUUAAAGGGUGCGUAGGCUGUGCGUCAAGUCAGGGGUGAAAUUCCGGGGCUCAACUCCGGGGCUGCCCUUGAUACUGUCGCGCUGGAGUGCGGAUGCCGCCGGAGGAAUGAGUGGUGUAGCGGUGAAAUGCUUAGAUAUCACUCAGAACACCGAUUGCGAAGGCAUCUGGCGAAUCCGUAACUGACGCUGAGGCACGAAAGCGUGGGGAUAGAACAGGAUUAGAUACCCUGGUAUUCCACGCCGUAAACGAUGAUGGCUAACCGCCGGCGACACACUGUCGGUGGCCAAGUGAAAGCGAUAAGCCAUCCACCUGGGGAGUACGUCGGCAACGAUGCAACUCAAAGGAAUUGACGG